rnacentral:rRNA from 1 species
UACGGAGGGUGCAAGCAUUAUCCGGAUUCACUGGGUUUAAAGGGUGCGUAGGUGGGCAGGUAAGUCAGUGGUGAAAUCUCCGAGCUUAACUCGGAAACUGCCGUUGAUACUAUUUGUCUUGAAUAUUGUGGAGGUAAGCGGAAUAUGUCAUGUAGCGGUGAAAUGCUUAGAUAUGACAUAGAACACCAAUUGCGAAGGCAGCUUACUACACAACGAUUGACGCUGAGGCACGAAAGCGUGGGGAUCAAACAGG